AUGACCUCUUCGUCCCCCGCCCCAAACCCUAACCCCGUCCCCACACCGCCCCCAAACCCCGCACCGAACGCCACUCCCGCGACCGGAAACGCGGUCGCAGCGUCGUCGCCGCCGCACAAGGACCAGCAGCAGCAGAGCCAGGACGGGGUCGUCGCUGGUGGCGGAGCGGGGGUGGAUGGUGGGGCCGGGGCCGGUGGCGAGGCGGUGGAGGCGGGUGUAGCGGGCGACGCGAUGGAGGUUGACGGCGGCGCUGGUGGAGGUGGAGGUGGGGCUGGGGAUGUGGAGGGCGGAGGUGGCAGUGGAGCGGCCGGAGGAGCGCAGCUGGCCUCGUCACCGGCGACCGUGUUCCGGAUCCGCCUCAAGCAGCCCCCUGCAAGCCUCAAGUACAAGAUGCGCGUGCCCGAGCUGUGCAGGAACUUCAGCGCUGUUGCUUGGUGUGGGAAACUGAACGCAAUUGCAUGUGCAUCAGAGACUUGUGCGCGGAUUCCAAGCUCUAAUUCAAGUCCACCAUUUUGGAUUCCUAUACACAUACUGAAUCCAGAGAGACCAACAGAAUGUUCUGUUUUCAAUGUUAGAGCAGAUUCUCCACGGGACUUUGUUCAGUUCAUUGAAUGGUCUCCUACGUCAUGCCCACGUUCAUUAUUAGUGGCAAAUUUUCAUGGGAGGAUUACUAUAUGGACACAGCCAACUAAGGGUCCUGUUAAUCUUGUACGUGACUCCAGCUCCUGGCAAUGUGAACAUGAAUGGCGUCAAGAUCUCUCUGUGGUUACCAAAUGGCUAUCUGGAAUUUCUCCGUAUAGAUGGCUUCCUGCAAACUCCAGCACUUCGAACUUAAAAACCUUUGAGGAAAAAUUCCUUACACAGCACCCUCAGAAUUCAGCAGGAUGGCCAAAUAUGCUAUGCGUUUGUUCUGUAUUUUCAUCAGGGUCUGUUCAGCUUCAUUGGUCACAGUGGCCUCCUCAAAGCUCAGCACAACCUAGAUGGUUCUCUACUAGCAAAGGGCUUCUUGGGGCAGGCCCCAGCGGCAUAAUGGCUGCUGAUGCCAUUAUUACUGAGUCUGGAGCUCUACAUGUUGCUGGUGUUCCCCUUGUUAAUCCAUCUACUGUAGUGGUUUGGGAGGUGAUGCCAGGUCUUGGUAAUGGCAUUCAGGCAACUGCGAAGAUAAAUGCAACAAGCCCUCUUCCUCCAUCUCUGAACCCCCCUUCCUGGUCUGGUUUUGCUCCAUUAGCAGCUUAUCUCUUUUCUUUGCAAGACUACCUUGUGUCUGAGGCUGCACAAACAAGAAAACAGAUAGAUAAUGAGAUCACUGAAGCCGCAUCGAUCCAUUGUUGUCCGGUUUCCAAUUUUUCAGCUUAUGUCAGCCCUGAAGCUGCUGCCCAGUCAGCAACUACUACAACAUGGGGAUCUGGGGUUACUUCAGUUGCUUUUGAUCCCACUCGAGGAGGAGGAGUAAUUACAGUUGUAAUAGUUGAAGGGCAGUAUAUGUCUCCUUAUGACCCUGAUGAAGGACCUUCCAUCACUGGCUGGAGAGUCCAAUGCUGGGAAUCUUCACUUCAACCUGUUGUUCUUCACCCAAUAUUUGGAAGCCCUUCUAGCUUUGGUGGGCAGCCUCCAAUGCAAACUGUUUGGUCCACUAGAGUUAACAAGAGCAUUACACCAACAGAGGACCUUAAAAACCCUCAAACGUAUGUUCCAAUGCCAACAACUUCAGAUGAACGGAGCUCUUCUGAGUGCAGUGUUGACAGGGCAAACAGAAUUAGUUUUGACCCUUAUGAUCUUCCGAAUGAUGUUAGACAGCUGGCGCAAAUAGUUUAUUCUGCACAUGGUGGUGAAGUUGCUGUUGCUUUCCUGCGUGGAGGAGUGCACAUUUUCUCGGGCCCAAAUUUUGAUCAGGUUGACAGCUAUCAUGUCAAUGUUGGCUCAUCAAUUGCUCCACCAGCUUUCUCCUCUAGCAGUUGUUGCUUGGCAUCAGUAUGGCAUGACACACUCAAAGAUCGAACCAUACUAAAGAUAAUACGGGUGCUUCCUCCUGCAAUUCUUAAUGUUCAGACAAAAGUCAGCUCAGCUGUUUGGGAACGGGCAAUAGCAGAUAGAUUUUGGUGGAGCUUGAUGGCUGGUGUGGAUUGGUGGGACGCUGUCGGUUGCACACAGAGUGCUGCUGAAGAUGGUAUUGUCUCACUUAACAGUGUGAUAGCUUUGCUGGAUACGGACUUCCAUUGUCUUCCAACUAUGCAACAGAGGCAGCAACACUGUCCUAACCUUGAUAGGAUAAAGUGUAGGUUGUUGGAAGGAACUAAUGCUCAAGACGUAAGAGCACUUGUGUUGGACAUGCAAGCAAGAUUGCUUCUGGAUAUGCUAGGCAAGGGAAUAGAGUCUGCGCUGAUAAAUCCAUCAACCCUGCUACCUGAACCCUGGCAAGCUUCUAGUGAAUUGUUGUCUAACAUUGAGCCUGACAAAAUGACGGUUGACCCAGCUCUACUUCCAAGCAUCCAGGGUUAUGUUGAUGCUGUUCUAGAUUUAGCAUCACAUUUCAUCACACGCUUGCGGCGUUAUGCAAGCUUCUGCCGGACUUUGGCUAGCCAUGCUGUAGGAGCAUCUUCUAGUUCAGGGAAUUUGAGGAAUAUGGUUACUAGUCCAACCAACAAUUCUCCGUCGCCGUCAAAUAAUCAAGGUAAUCAAGGUGGAGUAGCAUCUGCGACAGGGAGCUCACAAAUGCAGGAGUGGGUCCAAGGUGCCAUUGCUAAGAUUAGUAACAAUGCUGAUGGCGCUGCCAAUGCCGCACCAAAUCCAGUUAGUGGGAGGUCAUCAUUUAUUCCUAUAAGCAUCAACACAGGGACUUUUCCCGGGACACCUGCUGUCAGGCUUAUUGGAGACUGCCAUUUCCUUCAUAGAUUAUGUCAGUUGCUGCUAUUCUGUUUGCUUUUUCGGAGGAGGCAAUCACCAAGAUUACUCGCAAAUGCACAAAAAAAUCCUGAUUCUGCCAUGCAGAAAAUACAGCAAUUGAUGAACAGUAAAAUAGAGGACAGUAGUUCUGCUAUUUCUGGUGUAAGAUCUGGUCUAGGGGCUGCCAAAGUGGAAGAUGGUGCAGCUACACGUGGACAGUUGGUUCUUGGAGCAAAGGGGCUUGAAGAAAAUCCAAUGGGCAAAUCUGUUAGAAUUGGUUCUGGCAAUGCUGGCCAGGGCUACACGUCGGAUGAGGUGAAGGUUCUAUUUCUCAUAUUGGUUGACCUUUGUCGAAGGACAUCAGGCUUGCAACACCCAUUACCUGUUUCUCAGGUUGGUACUAGCAACAUAAUUAUAAGGCUGCACUUCAUUGACGGCACUUACACUGUGCUCCCUGAGGUAGUGGAAGCAUCUCUUGGUCCCCACAUGCAGAAUAUGCCGCGUCCACGGGGAGCUGAUGCUGCUGGUCUUUUACUUCGAGAAUUGGAACUGCAACCUCCUUCUGAAGAAUGGCAUAGGCGCAACAUGUUUGGAGGACCCUGGUCAGAACCAGAUGAUCUCGGUCCAUUGGAUAAUAUGCCACAUCUGAAAAUAGGUGGUCAUAUCAACCCUCACUUGUCUGACAUGGAAGAGGAGGGUAAAACUAACUUUGGGAUUCAAAGUCUUUGGCCAAGAAAGCGCCGGUUGUCUGAAAGAGAUGCAGCAUUUGGUCUGAAAACAUCUGUAGGUCUGGGAGCUUAUCUUGGCGUGAUGGGGUCUCGGCGAGAUGUCAUCACAGCCGUGUGGAAAACAGGACUUGAUGGUGAAUGGUAUAAGUGCAUUCGAUGUUUGCGGCAAACUUGUGCAUUUGCACAGCCUGGUGCCCCAAACAUGGCAAAUGAACGGGAGGCGUGGUGGAUCAGCCGGUGGACCCAAGCAUGUCCAAUGUGUGGUGGGUCAUGGGUGAAAGUUGUGUGA
rnacentral:rRNA from 1 species